rnacentral:misc_RNA from 1 species
UCCUCUGACGGGAAAGGAGCU